CUUGAUUCUUUAGGUAGACAAUGAGUGAGACAGAGGAUUCUACGACGCAAGGUCAACGUCUUAAGGGUGUAAACAAGUUUCCUCUGGCUUGAUACGAUAAUAGUUAAUUACUACGGGAAACAAGAUACAAGGUUCUUAUGUCGGUAACGCAGCUGCAGGAAAAAGAUGAUAUAUAAUGAAAUCAAAUAAUUAUAGAUUUUUCUGGGCCGUAAUGAAAAAAUCUGCACAAAAUUGCUUGACUCAGUUGGUUUGUUCUAUAUAAUGCGCAUCUCUAUCGCGAUGACACACAAGUCAAAGCAAAGUUCUUUAAAAACAAAUAACCAAUAAGUGUGGACGCUUGGCAAUAUAAAUUGCAAAGCUCAGGUAAAUCUGAGCAAAAAAGUUACAAACGUCUGCAUUAUUAUCUGUAAAAAGAUAAAAGCAAGAUGAGAAAGAGAUAAAACUGAAGAGUUUGAUCCUGGCUCAGAUUGAACGCUGGCGGCAUGCUUUACACAUGCAAGUCGAACGGCAGCGGGGGCUUCGGCCUGCCGGCGAGUGGCGAACGGGUGAGUAAUACAUCGGAACGUGUCCUUAAGUGGGGAAUAACGCAUCGAAAGAUGUGCUAAUACCGCAUAUCUCUGAGGAGAAAAGCAGGGGAUCGCAAGACCUUGCGCUAAAGGAGCGGCCGAUGUCUGAUUAGCUAGUUGGUGGGGUAAAGGCUUACCAAGGCAACGAUCAGUAGUUGGUCUGAGAGGACGGCCAACCACACUGGGACUGAGACACGGCCCAGACUCCUACGGGAGGCAGCAGUGGGGAAUUUUGGACAAUGGGCGAAAGCCUGAUCCAGCCAUGCCGCGUGAGUGAAGAAGGCCUUCGGGUUGUAAAGCUCUUUUAGUCGGAAAGAAAGAGUUGCAAUGAAUAAUUGUGAUUUAUGACGGUACCGACAGAAAAAGCACCGGCUAACUACGUGCCAGCAGCCGCGGUAAUACGUAGGGUGCGAGCGUUAAUCGGAAUUACUGGGCGUAAAGGGUGCGCAGGCGGUCUUGCAAGUCAGAUGUGAAAGCCCCGGGCUUAACCUGGGAAUUGCGUUUGAAACUACAAGGCUAGAGUGCAGCAGAGGGGAGUGGAAUUCCAUGUGUAGCAGUGAAAUGCGUAGAGAUGUGGAAGAACACCGAUGGCGAAGGCAGCUCCCUGGGUUGACACUGACGCUCAUGCACGAAAGCGUGGGGAGCAAACAGGAUUAGAUACCCUGGUAGUCCACGCCCUAAACGAUGUCAACUAGUUGUCGGAUCUAAUUAAGGAUUUGGUAACGUAGCUAACGCGUGAAGUUGACCGCCUGGGGAGUACGGUCGCAAGAUUAAAACUCAAAGGAAUUGACGGGGACCCGCACAAGCGGUGGAUUAUGUGGAUUAAUUCGAUGCAACGCGAAAAACCUUACCUACCCUUGACAUGCUUGGAAUCUAAUGGAGACAUAAGAGUACCCGAAAGGGAGCCAAGACACAGGUGCUGCAUGGCUGUCGUCAGCUCGUGUCGUGAGAUGUUGGGUUAAGUCCCGCAACGAGCGCAACCCUUGUCACUAAUUGCUAUCAUUUUUAAUGAGCACUUUAGUGAGACUGCCGGUGACAAACCGGAGGAAGGUGGGGAUGACGUCAAGUCCUCAUGGCCCUUAUGGGUAGGGCUUCACACGUAAUACAAUGGCGUGUACAGAGGGUUGCCAACCCGCGAGGGGGAGCCAAUCUCAGAAAGCACGUCGUAGUCCGGAUCGGAGUCUGCAACUCGACUCCGUGAAGUCGGAAUCGCUAGUAAUCGCGGAUCAGCAUGCCGCGGUGAAUACGUUCCCGGGUCUUGUACACACCGCCCGUCACACCAUGGGAGUGGUUUUCACCAGAAGCAGGUAGCUUAACCGUAAGGAGGGCGCUUGCCACGGUGGGGGUCAUGACUGGGGUGAAGUCGUAACAAGGUAGCCGUAGGGGAACCUGCGGCUGGAUCACCUCCUUUCAUAAAUUAUUGCCAAGUGUUCACACUUAUUGGUUGUUUGUAAUGAAUAAGCAUGAAUUUGGGUUUAAGGGUGUAGGAAAUACUUGGACUCGAAAGGGUCUGUAGCUCAGUUGGUUAGAGCACACGCUUGAUAAGCGUGGGGUCGGUGGUUCAAAUCCACCCAGACCCACCACGAGGGGGUGUAGCUCAGCUGGGAGAGCACCUGCUUUGCAAGCAGGGGGUCAUCGGUUCGAUCCCGUUCACCUCCACCAAUUAAACCGGUUAGACUCAAAAAAUAAAUUCUGCUUUUUGUUCUUUAAAAAAUAAAAAUUGGGUAAGAUUGUGUUUUGUAAAGCAUAAUCUAAAUCUAUAGUGUUGAUGAAUAUAACAAGUUUUUAUUUUUGUUAUUAAGUUUUCAAGAUUAUAGGAUCAAGUGAAUAAGUGCAUGUGGUGGAUGCCUUGGCGAUUACAGGCGAUGAAGGACGUGGAAGCCUGCGAAAAGCUUCGGGGAGCUGGCAAACAAGCUUUGAUCCGGAGAUGUCCGAAUGGGAAAACCCACCCGUAAGGGUAAUCACUCCUGAAUAUAUAGGGAGAUGAUGGCUAACCUGGAGAACUGAAACAUCUAAGUAACCAGAGGAAAAGAAAUCAACAGAGAUUCCCAGAGUAGUGGCGAGCGAAAUGGGACCAGCCUGCAGUUAAUAAUAUUUAGACUAACCGAAUUAUCUGGAAAGUUAAACCGUAGUGGGUGAUAGUCCCGUAGGUGAAAGUCUGAAUGUGGAACUAAGAUUGCAAUAAGUAGGGCGGGGCACGUGUAAUCCUGUCUGAAUAUAGGGGGACCAUCCUCUAAGGCUAAAUACUCGUAAUCGACCGAUAGUGAACCAGUACCGUGAGGGAAAGGCGAAAAGAACCCCGGGAGGGGAGUGAAAUAGAUCCUGAAACCGCAUGCAUACAAACAGUAGGAGCCUUGAAAGAGGUGACUGCGUACCUUUUGUAUAAUGGGUCAGCGACUUACAUUCAGUAGCGAGCUUAACCGAUAGGGGAGGCGUAGUGAAAACGAGUCUUAAUAGGGCGAUAAGUUGCUGGGUGUAGACCCGAAACCAGAUGAUCUACUCAUGGCCAGGAUGAAAGGAGGGUAAUGCCUCGUGGAGGUCCGAACCCACUAAUGUUGAAAAAUUAGGGGAUGAGCUGUGGGUAGGGGUGAAAGGCUAAACAAAUCUGGAAAUAGCUGGUUCUCUCCGAAAACUAUUUAGGUAGUGCCUCAUAUAUUACCUUUGGGGGUAGAGCACUGUUAUGGCUAGGGGGUCGUCAAGAUUUACCAAACCAUUGCAAACUCCGAAUACCAAAGAGUGCAAGUAUGGGAGACAGACAUCGGGUGCUAACGUUCGGUGUCGAAAGGGAAACAACCCAGACCUUCAGCUAAGGUCCCAAAGAUACAGUUAAGUGGUAAACGAAGUGGGAAGGCAUAGACAGUCAGGAAGUUGGCUUAGAAGCAGCCAUCCUUUAAAGAAAGCGUAAUAGCUCACUGAUCGAGUCGUCCUGCGCGGAAGAUGUAACGGGGCUAAACUGUACACCGAAGCUAAGGAUUUGCAAUUUAAUUGCAAGUGGUAGGAGAGCGUUCCGUAAGCCUGUGAAGGUAACUUGUGAAGGUUGCUGGAGGUAUCGGAAGUGCGAAUGCUGACAUGAGUAGCGAUAAAGGAAGUGAAAAGCUUCCUCGCCGAAAACCCAAGGUUUCCUGUGCAACGUUCAUCGGCGCAGGGUUAGUCGGUCCCUAAGGUGAGGUAGAAAUACGUAGCUGAUGGGAAACUGGUUAAUAUUCCAGUACCUUUAUUUAAUGCGAUGUGGGGACGAAGAAGGCUAGCUUAGCCGGGUGUUGGAUGUCCCGGUUGAAGCAGGUAGACAUGCUAUUUAGGCAAAUCCGGAUAGCUUAGUCGAGAUGUGAUAACGAAACCUCUUUCGGGAGGCCAAGUAAGUAAUGCCAUGCUUCCAGGAAAAGCCACUAAGCUUCAGUUAAAUAAAGACCGUACCGUAAACCGACACAGGUGGGUGGGAUGAGAAUUCUAAGGCGCUUGAGAGAACUCAGGAGAAGGAACUCGGCAAAUUGACACCGUAACUUCGGGAGAAGGUGUGCCUCUAGUAUGUGUAGUGCUACACGCAUGAAGCAGAAUGAGGUUGCAAAGAAAUGGUGGCUGCGACUGUUUAAUAAAAACACAGCACUCUGCAAACACGAAAGUGGACGUAUAGGGUGUGACGCCUGCCCGGUGCCGGAAGGUUAAGUGAUGGGGUGCAAGCUCUUGAUCGAAGCCCCGGUAAACGGCGGCCGUAACUAUAACGGUCCUAAGGUAGCGAAAUUCCUUGUCGGGUAAGUUCCGACCUGCACGAAUGGCGUAACGAUGGCCACACUGUCUCCUCCUGAGACUCAGCGAAGUUGAAAUGUUUGUGAAGAUGCAAUCUACCCGCGGCUAGACGGAAAGACCCCGUGCACCUUUACUGUAGCUUUACAUUGGAUUUUGAUUAUUCUUGUGUAGGAUAGGUGGGAGGCUGUGAAAUAUGCUCGCCAGAGUGUAUGGAGCCAACCUUGAAAUACCACCCUGGAAUGAUCGGAGUUCUAACCCAGGUCCAUUAUCUGGAUCGGGGACCGUGUAUGGUAGGCAGUUUGACUGGGGCGGUCUCCUCCCAAAGAGUAACGGAGGAGUGCGAAGGUACGCUAGGUACGGUCGGAAAUCGUACUGAUAGUGCAAUGGCAUAAGCGUGCUUAACUGCGAGACUGACAAGUCGAGCAGAUGCGAAAGCAGGUCAUAGUGAUCCGGUGGUUCUGUAUGGAAGGGCCAUCGCUCAACGGAUAAAAGGUACGCCGGGGAUAACAGGCUGAUUCCUCCCAAGAGUUCAUAUCGACGGGGGAGUUUGGCACCUCGAUGUCGGCUCAUCACAUCCUGGGGCUGUAGUCGGUCCCAAGGGUAUGGCUGUUCGCCAUUUAAAGUGGUACGUGAGCUGGGUUUAAAACGUCGUGAGACAGUUUGGUCCCUAUCUGCCGUGGGCGUUGGAAAUUUGAGUGGGGCUGCUCCUAGUACGAGAGGACCGGAGUGGACGCACCUCUGGUGUACCGGUUAUGACGCCAGUCGUAUCGCCGGGUAGCUAAGUGCGGAAGAGAUAACCGCUGAAAGCAUCUAAGCGGGAAACUUGCCAUAAGAUUAGAUUUCCCGGGAAUUUAAUUCCCCUAAAGGUUCGUUGAAGACUACAACGUUGAUAGGUCGAAUGUGUAAGCGUAGUAAUGCGUUAAGCUAAUCGAUACUAAUUGACCGUGAGGCUUGAUCCUAUAAUCUUGAAAAUUGAGUCAAUGUAUUGGCAAAUUUAAUAUUUUGCCUAAUACCCAAUUUUACCGUUUUUGCUUGGCGGCCAUAGCGCUUUGGACCCACCUUUUCCCAUCCCGAACAGAGAAGUGAAACGAAGCAGCGCCGAUGAUAGUGUGUUUCCACAUGUGAAAGUAGGUCACCGCCAGGCUUCCUCUUAUGUUAGUGUUUGUUUUUAUCUGUGGUAUUUCUUCCUUAAUUUUCGUUUAUGUAAAGUUAGGUUUUUGUAAACACAAUCUAAUUUUUACCAUUAAGGCUUCAUGUACUUAUUCUUUAUUCUAUUGAUUUUUUGAGUAUUA
rnacentral:rRNA from 1 species